rnacentral:rRNA from 1 species
UACGUAGGGGGCUAGCGUUGUCCGGAAUCAUUGGGCGUAAAGAGCGUGUAGGCGGCCCGGUAAGUCCGCUGUGAAAGUCGGGGGCUCAACCCUUGAAUGCCGGUGGAUACUGUCGGGCUAGAGUGCGGAAGAGGCGAGUGGAAUUCCUGGUGUAGCGGUGAAAUGCGCAGAUAUCAGGAGGAACACCGAUUGCGAAGGCAGCUCGCUGGGACGUUACUGACGCUGAGACGCGAAAGCGUGGGGAGCAAACAGG